rnacentral:rRNA from 1 species
ACGCCGCGUGAGUGAUGAAGGUUUUCGGAUCGUAAAGCUCUGCCGUUAGGGAAGAACAAGUGCCGUUCAAAUAGGGCGGCACCUUGACGGUACCUAACCAGAAAGCCACGGCUAACUACGUGCCAGCAGCCGCGGUAAUACGUAGGUGGCAAGCGUUGUCCGGAAUUAUUGGGCGUAAAGGGCUCGCAGGCGGUUUCUUAAGUCUGAUGUGAAAGCCCCCGGCUCAACCGGGGAGGGUCAUUGGAAACUGGGGAACUUGAGUGCAGAAGAGGAGAGUGGAAUUCCACGUGUAGCGGUGAAAUGCGUAGAGAUGUGGAGGAACACCAGUGGCGAAGGCGACUCUCUGGUCUGUAACUGACGCUGAGGAGCGAAAGCGUGGGGAGCGAACAGGAUUAGAUACCCUGUUAGUCCACGCCGUAAACGAUGAGUGCUAAGUGUUAGGGGGUUUCCGCCCCUUAGUGCUGCAGCUAACGCAUUAAGCACUCCGCCUGGGGAGUACGGUCGCAAGACUGAAACUCAA